GGACAGAAAGACCCUAUGAAGCUUUACUGUAACUUGAAAUUGAAAUUGGACUUUAUUUGCGCAGUAUAGGUGGGAGGCGUUGAGAAUAUUCUUGCGGGAAUAUUGGAGCCAUCAGUGAGAUACCACUCUUGUAAUGUUAGAUUUCUAACUUUGCAUCCUCAUCGGGUCAAAGAACAGUUUCAGGCGGGCAGUUUGACUGGGGCGGUCGCCUCCUAAACGGUAACGGAGGCGUACAAAGGUUUCCUCUGAACGUGUAGAAAUCGUAUCUAGAGUGUAAAGGCAUAAGGAAGCUUGACUGUGAGACCUACAAGUCGAGCAGGGACGAAAGUCGGUCUUAGUGAUCUGACGGUGCUGAGUGGAAAGGCCGUCACUCAACGGAUAAAAGUUACUCUAGGGAUAACAGGCUGA
rnacentral:rRNA from 1 species